AGUGAACGCUGGCGGUAGGCCUAACACAUGCAAGUCGAACGGCAGCACAGUAAGAGCUUGCUCUUACGGGUAGCGAGUGGCGGACGGGUGAGGAAUACAUCGGAAUCUACUUUUUCGUGGGGGAUAACGUAGGGAAACUUACGCUAAUACCGCAUACGACCUACGGGUGAAAGCAGGGGAUCUUCGGACCUUGCGCGAUUGAAUGAGCCGAUGUCGGAUUAGCUAGUUGGCGGGGUAAAGGCCCACCAAGGCGACGAUCCGUAGCUGGUCUGAGAGGAUGAUCAGCCACACUGGAACUGAGACACGGUCCAGACUCCUACGGGAGGCAGCAGUGGGGAAUAUUGGACAAAGGGCGCAAGCCUGAUCCAGCCAUACCGCGUGGAUGAAGAAGGCCUUCGGGUUGUAAAGCCCUUUUGUUGGGAAAGAAAAGCAGCAGGUUAAUACCCCGCUGUUCUGACGGUACCCAAAGAAUAAGCACCGGCUAACUUCGUG
rnacentral:rRNA from 1 species